rnacentral:rRNA from 1 species
GCUACACAUGCAGUCGAGCGGUAGCACAGAGAGCUUGCUCUCGGGUGACGAGCGGCGGACGGGUGAGUAAUGUCUGGGAAACUGCCUGAUGGAGGGGGAUAACUACUGGAAACGGUAGCUAAUACCGCAUAACGUCGCAAGACCAAAGUGGGGGACCUUCGGGCCUCAUGCCAUCAGAUGUGCCCAGAUGGGAUUAGCUAGUAGGUGGGGUAACGGCUCACCUAGGCGACGAUCCCUAGCUGGUCUGAGAGGAUGACCAGCCACACUGGAACUGAGACACGGUCCAGACUCCUACGGGAGGCAGCAGUGGGGAAUAUUGCACAAUGGGCGCAAGCCUGAUGCAGCCAUGCCGCGUGUGUGAAGAAGGCCUUCGGGUUGUAAAGCACUUUCAGCGGGGAGGAAGGCGAUAAGGUUAAUAACCUUGUCGAUUGACGUUACCCGCAGAAGAAGCACCGGCUAACUCCGUGCCAGCAGCCGCGGUAAUACGGAGGGUGCAAGCGUUAAUCGGAAUUACUGGGCGUAAAGCGCACGCAGGCGGUCUGUCAAGUCGGAUGUGAAAUCCCCGGGCUCAACCUGGGAACUGCAUUCGAAACUGGCAGGCUAGAGUCUUGUAGAGGGGGGUAGAAUUCCAGGUGUAGCGGUGAAAUGCGUAGAGAUCUGGAGGAAUACCGGUGGCGAAGGCGGCCCCCUGGACAAAGACUGACGCUCAGGUGCGAAAGCGUGGGGAGCAAACAGGAUUAGAUACCCUGGUAGUCCACGCCGUAAACGAUGUCGAUUUGGAGGUUGUGCCCUUGAGGCGUGGCUUCCGGAGCUAACGCGUUAAAUCGACCGCCUGGGGAGUACGGCCGCAAGGUUAAAACUCAAAUGAAUUGACGGGGGCCCGCACAAGCGGUGGAGCAUGUGGUUUAAUUCGAUGCAACGCGAAGAACCUUACCUGGUCUUGACAUCCACAGAACUUUCCAGAGAUGGAUUGGUGCCUUCGGGAACUGUGAGACAGGUGCUGCAUGGCUGUCGUCAGCUCGUGUUGUGAAAUGUUGGGUUAAGUCCCGCAACGAGCGCAACCCUUAUCCUUUGUUGCCAGCGGUCCGGCCGGGAACUCAAAGGAGACUGCCAGUGAUAAACUGGAGGAAGGUGGGGAUGACGUCAAGUCAUCAUGGCCCUUACGACCAGGGCUACACACGUGCUACAAUGGCAUAUACAAAGAGAAGCGACCUCGCGAGAGCAAGCGGACCUCAUAAAGUAUGUCGUAGUCCGGAUUGGAGUCUGCAACUCGACUCCAUGAAGUCGGAAUCGCUAGUAAUCGUAGAUCAGAAUGCUACGGUGAAUACGUUCCCGGGCCUUGUACACACCGCCCGUCACACCAUGGGAGUGGGUUGCAAAAGAAGUAGGUAGCUUAACCUUCGGGAGGGCGCUACCACUUUGAUCUUGUUCAG